GUCUCAGGUAACAAGUUUUUUUUUGUAUACACUCGGUAGGCUAUUUACUGGAUCAGUACUUUAAACGCGAUGAAUAUAUUAAAUUAUACGUAUUUUUUUUACAUGGCAAUAAACUAAAACAACCGGUUAAUUCAGAUAUAGGUAAACCACAAGUUGCAGAAUGCUGUUAAUAAAAAAAUAUUCAUUUUUUUGUCCCGUCUACUCAACAUAGCAGUUUUGUAUGUUCAUUGCCAAACUUUGAAAGGUUUUAAUUCAAUAAUUUACACCGCAGGGGUAAUUCAAGUGUAAUCUACUAAUAUAUUAACAAGGUAAUAUAUAGAAAAUACAUUUGCAUUCAGUCACAGGUACUUGGAGAUAAGCUAUGAAAAGAGGUUGUGCGAAAAAUGGUGUAACGAAACCAAAUUUGUAGCACAUGUGUCAACUUUUUUGAUACCUACUGUACUUAUUGUCAAUUUUCUGUUAUUACAAGUUUAUAUGCAUGUACAGGAUAUGCAAUAUUUAUCAAUUGCGUUAAGGAUUACCCGUUAAGGAUUUCAAUAAUAUACUGAAGUUCGGCGCCGUGGCUCAGUGGUUGAGGCCCCUGCAUCGGAACCAAAGUGUCCUUGAUGCUCGACGGCGGUACUAACGCUGAUCGGAGUAUGUGUCCUCGGGCAAGACACUUAACGGAAAUUGCUCCAACCCAGCGGUCACUAAUGGGUUGUCCAAACUAUAAGCAAUAUCAGAGCAAAAAUUGCACACAAAAAAGCUGAAACUGUGGUAACUCGUAAGCACACGGGAUAAAAACUGGUGCGAAAAUACGUGCCCGACUGCGAUGCGGUGUCGCAAAAGUUGAUGUCAUGAAUUGAUGGCAUGAGUCGCAGACUUGGUCCAAGAUCUGCCACAAGACUAAAUUUAGGACCUACCACGAGAUUUAGUU